UAGGGAAUCUUCCGCAAUGGACGCAAGUCUGACGGAGCAACGCCGCGUGAGUGAAGAAGGAUUUCGGUUCGUAAAACUCUGUUGUUAGAGAAGAACAGCGCAUAGAGUAACUGUUAUGCGUGUGACGGUAUCUAACCAGAAAGCCACGGCUAACUACGUGCCAGCAGCCGCGGUAAUACGCAGGUGGCAAGCGUUGUCCGGAUUUAUUGGGCGUAAAGCGAGCGCAGGCGGUCAAUUAAGUCUGAUGUGAAAGCCCCCGGCUCAACCGGGGAGGGUCAUUGGAAGCUGGUUGACUUGAGUGCAGAGGAGGAGAGUGGAAGUCAAUGUGUGACGGUGAAAUGCGUAGAUAUAUGGAUGAACACCAGUGGCGAAUGCAAUUCUCUGGUCUGUAACUAACGCUGAGGCUCGAAAGCGUGGGUAGCAAACAGG
rnacentral:rRNA from 1 species